ensembl:lncRNA
CCCCUCCUUACUGCCCGUUUUCCCUAUAUAACUGCCUCAAGAUUCCGUAAUCCUGGAAGAUGGGUUUUUGAGACAUUAGUCACUCAUCUUCCGAUUAACCAGCUAAUCUAAUUAAGCUUCCUUUCUCGAUCUCUAACUUGUGAUUAAUUGGCUCAGAUCGCAGCGAACAGAGUGAGCCCUUCCUCAGUAUUAGCACUAUUGCGUUCUUUUCCUCCAACCGUUUGCAUCUGAAUAGACCUGACUGGACUCUGCAGGAGACCCCUGGCUGAUUUGCAAGGUGUUUUUUAGAUGAAUGACAGAAAGAAUAAACCCUCCAGGAGCCAAGAGGAGGGGGAGGUCAGUUCUGGCUGGAGCCACCCAGGAGAGCUGAACUGAAGACUUGCAAUUUGCGCCUACCCUGGAAGGAAGAGGCAGAUUCAACAGGCAAAGAGGUACAGAGUCAUAAUCAUGGGGCUCCAAAAAAGAGAAAAGGAAUCCCGGAAAUCCUCUCUCCCCCUGAAAUUGGCCAUCAAUAAUCCAGAAGUCGAGAAGUAAUGACUGUCCCCAUCAGAGAGCUCCAGGGUCUCUGUUGGCUCCCAGCUCUGCUGGCAGCUCAGCGGUGCAGGCAAGAGAAGGAUGGAGAGUGGCAUGCAGCAGGGACAAGGUGGGGAGGGGGGGUGCUCUGCGGGCAGAGGCACCACGUGAGCUGUGGCUCUGGGGCCAGGUAUCCCAUCUCUUGGUUAUUGGUAGGCACUUUGCAAAACACAGAGUCCUGGGAAGACUUAAACAGCUCCCCUUUCACAGACAGACAGCGACACUGCAGGUGGCACUUUGGCUUCAAUGUGCCAAAGCCUGUAGCGGGAAGAGUGCUGUGGGAUUUCCACCAGCCCGCCCCUCCAGCCUGCUCCUGGUGCCGCACAGUGUGAAUGGGACGUCUGAGCGAGCAAGUGACAGGCAGAUUUUCACACUUUGACAAUCUGGCUUCAUGGCGAUAGCAAUCUGUUGCUGAAUUUUAAGUAGAAUUGUCCUUUUAGCCCUCAAUCCUUACUGUAUCCUUUUAGUGUUCAAGAAUUCGGAAAUUUUAAUAAAGUUUGAACACAAGAGAAUGACAUUUAUUCCACUCUGGGAAAUAGUAUUAAUAACAUUAUCCCACACACCCACACUUUUUGACAGCUCCCACUGGUUCUACACAAAACUCAGUGUGGCUGUGGGGACCUGAUUUCUUUGGAAAUUCAAAAGAGUUCCAGAAUGUUUUUGAAACAGACACAAAGUGCGAUGGUUAAUUUUAUGUGUCAACCUGGCUGGUCUAUGGAGCUCAGUUGUUUAGCCAAACACUAGUCUAGACAUUGCUGUGAAGGCAUUUUGUAGAAGUGGUCAACACCUGUGAUUAGUUGACUUUAAAUAUAGAUUACCCUCCAUAAUGUGGGUGGGCCUCAUCCAAUCAGUUGACGGCCUUAAGAGCAAAUAUUGAAGUUUCUCUAAAGUGAAAGAAUUCCGCCUCAAAGCUGCAACAUAAAGACUCUGCCUGAAUUUCCAGCCUGCUGCUCUACCCUACCGAUUUUGGACUCGCCAGCCCCAUAAUCACACAAGUCCAUUCCUUAAAAUCUCUCUCUUGUAUAUAUGUAUAUAAACCCUAUUGCUUCUGUUUCUCCAGAGAACCCUGACUCGUAACCUCUGAAAUAAUCUCACGGGACCCAGGUAAAAGAGAACCCAGAAAGAUGAAAGGAGUUCACGGUGGGGGAGGGGUGGUUGAGUUAGCUAAGAGCCUUUCUGUUCUGCCCAGGGCACCCAGCCUGGUGAUCAACAGUGCACAGAACAAGAGAGUCAGAGACACUUUUGCAAAUGCUACAAGUCUGUGCUCUUUUUAAAAAAGGUCAUUGAUUUUCCAUUUAAUUAAAUAGUCUGCUCUAAGGUAGGACCGCCAUGUUGUUUGAUUGCAACAAGUAUUAGGAACGAUAAAGUUUCUUAGCUUCCAUGGUACUAAAUGGUGUACUCAAAACAGCAUAGAAAUAGGUCCGUUUGAAAGUUCUUGCAGCUGAUUCUUCCCCUUCAACAGGACCUAGGUUGCUAAUCUAUCCCACGCUUUUCAGACUGCCUCUCAAUUUGAAUAUAAUCUCCUAAAUCCACCUCAACACCAACCCUUUCUCCCCCCUUCCUCUAAUCUCCUGCAUGAUUAAUGAAAGGUCUUUAUCUUCACAGUUCUAACUAAUGGCUCAUUACUCAUUUCUGUAGCAUUAGCCAAAAGAAACCUUGGUCAAGGCCAUUUUGAUAAGCAUAAUCAGCCUUCACUCUUGCAUUUGAAAGGUCUUCAUUCUUGUAAUACUUUCGUGGCUACAGCAGCUGUUGGACGUUUUCUAGUUUUUGCAGAGCUUUGCAGCUAUGGAAAAAUCUCCGCUAAAGGUUCUGCAGCAUAGUUUAAUGUAGAUGUCUCGCCCCAGCCUGGUUAGUAUAAAAAUUCAAUUGCAGAGCAGUAAUUAUUAUUAUUUUUAUUGUAAUGUGCGAGGAGAAGAUCCUGGCUUCCCAAUUGGAAAGUCCUACAGUGAGCCAAUAGAGUUUCCACCUCUGACCUCCUCGGAGGCGGGGAUGGCGAGCACUGUGGUUUGGGGCCUGGGUUUGGGGGGCUCAGAGUGCAUGGUCUUGUCAAAGUCAAGGCCCCGAGGCCCCAUGACCGGGGCUGGGAGCAGGAAGAGUGGAGCUGAGGUCACUGUUGGCCUCUCUACUCACGGUUCCUGUGUGUCAAUUGGGGCUGGCAAUGGCCAGCAUGCUCACACACAGCCCAGGGGAUGGUUAUGCAUUUUCCUUUGUUUUUCCAGCCCCAACAAAAACAUUUUCUGAUGGAUGCACUUGAGAGGGCUCCCUCGCUUUCGAAACUUGUAACAUCACAAAGAGAUUUGUGGCUGAUCCUCUUAAAAGGAAUUAAAAAUGUCCAGGGUAUUUACACUAAACCGCCGUGGUUCAGGGACUGCCCAUGUGUAGGCCUUGGAGGUGAACAGUGCCAGGGUGCCAGGUCAGCACUGUCUUUCCUCCAGUCUCUGAAUCAGAGUUUUUCUUCAACAAGUUGACAGGCUCUCAUUGUCAUGACUUGAUUGCUCAGUACCUUUCACCCUAAGAGCUGAUGGAUGGUUUUGAACCCGUUACAAAUGAAUUUUGAUUUACCAGGUAUUUUCACUGCUCCAAGUUCACCUUUCACCAGAUCUCCAGGUGAAUGGGGAAGUAUAAAAAGUCAUCUUGAAAUGGCCUUCUUUCUAGUUUCGAAAAUACGAAGGGCGUAAUUUUGUAUCACGACACUAUACCAUAUUUUAAAAUUUUCUCAUCUUGCAGGCAAGACUCACGAUGUGAAGUGGUGAUGGGUAAAAGGACCCCAAGCAGAGCGAGGAGAUGGUGGACAUUCAGUGUCUUUACAGAUUCUUGGCAACUCGAGAGUAGUUUUAGACAGUAAAGUCAAAGGGCAUCAUAACAUCACGACGUGACAAAAUGUAUCCUUCCACCCACAGGAAGAACGGGGCAGGGUCAAGAGAGCUCAUGACCUGAUGAUCUGAGGACCCAACCUGAGGAAAUAAGAGGACACUCAAAGGAACAGAUGACAGCCACGCGGCAGGGAGCCAUGGCCAGCAUGGUGCUGAGGCCAGCGGGAGACGGAGGAGGGAACGGCAUCUCUCCUGGGACUUCCCCUCUCUGGCUUUGCUGAACCCUGAGUGGACUCUCCUGGACCCCGAGUGGACUCUCUUGGACCCUGAGUGGACUCUUCCUGGCUCAUGCCUCAGAGCUCAUGGAUGCAGUCCCCAUGGGGAUCACAUGGUGAGGAGGGCUGGUUCUAAAUUCCAGGGCCUAUGGUGGCAUACUGGCUAAGUUCACGCACUCUGCUUCAGGGGCCUGGGGUUCGCAGGUUCAGAUCCCUG